ACUCUCUGGAGACACCCGGAUAGCAGACCGGGGGCCGAAGGUGCAACAUAUAUCCAAGGAUAUAUGAAUCUCUCAGGUAAAAGGACAGAGAAG
rnacentral:ncRNA from 1 species